rnacentral:rRNA from 1 species
GGUGGGACAGAUGAUUGGGGUGAAGUCGUAACAAGGUAGCCGUAUCGGAAGGUGCGGCUGGAUCACCUCCUUUCU